GACGAACGCUGGCGGCGUGCUUAAUACAUGCAAGUCAACGACUUUUAGAGUAGCAAUAUUUUAAAAAGGAGUGGCGCACGGGUGAGUAACACGUAGGUAAUCUGCCUUCAGGACUUCGACACAACUCGUCGAAAGACGGGCUAAUAUCAGAUAAUGCAGCGGCUCCGCAUGGAGACAGUUGUUAAAGUACAAGCGCCUGAAGAUGAGCCUGCGGUCCAUUAGCUAGUUGGUAGAGUAACAGCCUACCAAGGCAACGAUGGAUAGCUGGUCUGAGAGGAUGAUCAGCCACACUGGAACUGAGACACGGUCCAGACUCCUACGGGAGGCAGCAGUAAGGAAUAUUGCUCAAUGG
rnacentral:rRNA from 1 species